UUACAACUCGACACUUUAGCUCUCGUCUAAUUCACGGUGACAGUCGUAGAUGUUAAGCUGGGGUUCGUUCGUUUUGCUUCGGACUUAAAGUUCGCUGCUUCGGUGGACAACAUUUAUGCUAUAAGACAAAGAUGUCUGCUGAGCUCGUCUUUGCGAGUGGACCAGGUGGGAGCGAUGGAAGUGUUCAAGGCACCGCAGUGGGAGGCAGCAAACCUUUGCACCGCUUCAUUAAGGGGCAGCCCAAGAUUGUCGGCACUGUUUUGCUGGUCUUAGGAACGUGCUUCUUCGUUAAUGCCGUUGCAUUGAUGGUGAACCAUCCCUCGCAGCAUUACAUAGGGACAGCCAUCCCAUCGGGCUUCAUGAUGGGAGUAUUGUUCAUCAUAUGUGGGAUUCUGUAUAUUAUCACAGAGCACAACCCUAGUAAGAAAACAGUAACCAUAUCUUUAGCUCUGAGUAUUGUAUCCAUACUGGUGGCAGCUUGGACACUCCUGAACACUCUGCCCAACUUCGCACACUACCACCACUACCACCCCUACGGGGGCUACUCUAUGGACGAAAACUUCACAGAGUCUGAAUCAAUGUGGUCAACAUACUACGAGGCAAUGGGGAUAUCUUUUCAAGCAGUGCUUGUGUUCUACUGUUUUGUUGGUGCAAUUAUUUUCAUUGUAAUGUCAUCUCUGGCUGGAGCUGCCCUGCGUUCCACAAAAAGCCAGGCCAUCGUGGUGAUGACUGCCUCUUCGACUGAAACACAGGCUAACCAAUGAGCACAUGAGGACUUAAGUGUGACAAAUAUGGCAGAGAGAAGAAAGACGAAGUAUACAAAGACACAAAACUGUCUCUCUUUGUACCACAAAUAUUCACUACUUCUCACUAGUGCUGUCACUGUGUACAAUCCAAUAGACUGAUGUGUAUAUGUGAUACAUUUUGUCUUGUGGUGAUUGUUUGAUUUCUACUUCCUCCACCACGUGAACACCAUAUUUACCUCCUUUGACAUUUGACACCAGAAUCAACAGAACGAUUACAUUGAACUUUCCACACAGCACAGUUAUCUGCCAAUAAUGCUGCAGUCUGGCACUGGCUGACCUGAUGCGCCAUUAUUUUUAUUAUGUCAUGUAAAUCAUUAUGUAAUAGGAACCUUGUGCCACUGGUUUAUAGGUUACUACUAAUAGCUGUAUAAACAUUUGAUAGACCACUUACUAACUCAUACAGAUGACACAUCAGUCAUAAGUCAUGAUGAGAAUAUCACAGGAGCUGAAAUCUGUCUUGCUGGUGUUUAUCCUUGGCUCUAAUUCAUGUGGAGGACCAAACCAAAUCACUGUUUGACCAGCUUAUUUCCAGAACUCUCAAUGACUGACCUCAUUUUUAUAUUUAUAGCAAUUCAGAUGAUAUAUUCAAAAUUGGUCCUGCAGACUAAUGUUACUGAAGAUAAAUGUUUGACCAUUUACCUUUAAGACAAACAGUACAGAGCACCUGGAUAUGAAUUCAGUGAAGAACUUACAGUACUGUUGUAUUAGUGUAUGUAUUAAAAUCUUAAAUUAUCUGUUAA